GGAACUGACCGAAGGCCAGUACUCCGUUCUGCAACACAUCAACAACAGGAAGUUCAAGGGCGGGCAAAGAAGGGUAUAACACUGAAGGGGAAUCAGAAAGGCUUCACGGACCUCACCAAUCCCUAGCUGAAGCAGCACAUGGAGGCGGCCAUCAACAUCGGCGUGGUGGAUGAUCUCAAAGCCAGGUUUGGUGGUUUGCUGAAGGAUGAGGGUGUCCAGACCCCAGUGGAGUCUUUCAGAGUGCUAAACCCUGACACAUGGCCAGAAGACCAGGCCAGCCUUCUCACCUUUUGGCGAUGAUGGUGUGGCAGACCUGAUGAGGCAUUUCAAGGAGCCUCUAGAGAGAUAAGAAUUUAUUUGACACUGCAUUGCCAUAUGAGACAAUUAUGUUGGCAUAUUUGCAAACUAACUUGCUGUUUAAUCCUACAGAUCAGGGUGCAAUAUGGCUGCAAUCCAGGAUGAGUGGCAGGAGCUGAACAUCCUGGUCAGACACAAUUUCAAGGAACAAGUCUUACAGUGGCAUGUGGGAGGCCAUGUUGACAAAGGACCCCUACAGCACGAUUACAAGAACAUACUGGAGUUGGUGCAGCUUAUGCUGGUGCUGCCCAUUUCAGCCGCCCAGUGUGAGUGAGGCUUCUCUGCGCAGAACCGGAUUAAGAAUUCGACAAGAAGCUGCCUUGGGGUCUCUACCACCGAAGACCUGAUGACGAUCAGCCUGGAGGGGCCUCCUGUCGAGGAGUUCGAUCCCACUCCUGCCGUGGACCGCUGGCUGACCUCUAAGCGUGCCAGYCGGCCAACAUACAAAAGCAGCUGGACAACUGAUAUCCUUUGCGUCUAGUAGCCAUGGGUCAAUGUGUGAUUUUGGUGGUAUGUGCUGUUGCACAGAUGUGUGUCCCUUAGUACACGCACGCAGUAUAAAUAUGUAUGUAAUAAAAUGUUUGUUAAUAAACUCUGUGUUACUUGAACAUU